rnacentral:tRNA from 1 species
GGGUCUUUAGCUCAGUUGGGAGAGCAGGCGUCUCAUAAGCGCCAGGCGCCGGUCCGAGUCCGGCAGGGCCCA